UGGUGGAGUGAUUUGUCUGGUUAAUUCCGAUAACGAACGAGACCUUAACCUGCUAAAUAGAUUAACGGGUUAUUACCCGUGCGAUCUUCUUAGAGGGACUGUGUGGUAAAACCUCAAGGAAGUUUAAGGCAAUAACA
rnacentral:rRNA from 1 species